rnacentral:tRNA from 2 species
GGUGAGAUGGCCGAGUUGGUUAUGGCGCCAGGUUAAGGUUCUCUUAACAUAUUUCCUGGUCACGAAAGUGGCGUGGGUUCGAGUCCCACUCUCAUCA